GACGGGGGGGGCAAGUGUUCUUCGGAAUGACUGGGCGUAAAGGGCACGUAGGCGGUGAAUCGGGUUGAAAGUGAAAGUCGCCAAAAAGUGGCGGAAUGCUCUCGAAACCAAUUCACUUGAGUGAGACAGAGGAGAGUGGAAUUUCGUGUGUAGGGGUGAAAUCCGUAAAUAUACGAAGGAACGCCAAAAGCGAAGGCAGCUCUCUGGGUCCCUACCGACGCUGAGGAGCGAAAGCAUGGGGAGCGAACAGG
rnacentral:rRNA from 1 species